UUGGAGCUGUCAUUCCACAUUUAUCAGUAUUCACCUUGGUCAGUAGGGGGCAGUAGAGCGUUUCUUCCUAAUUGAAUGCUAUUACCUGCAGACCGGAAGCUCCUUGUCAUUCUGAUGAGAGCGACCAGGCUGUAAACAACUGGAAUGUUCUGUGUGCUUUUUCCUCCAGUUUAACAGGUGUCGUGUUUGAUGUUGUCGAUGGACGGCAGGAUGAUCCUGGUGCGGUCCUGCUUGAUUCUGGACAGAACCGGUUCGGCCCUGAAGAGAAAUACAAUGUGUCUUACCAGAAUGGGGUAAACUCCACGUGGGCGUCAAAGAAGCCCGUCACCUCGGCGGUAGCCACCUUCCAGCCCUCCAUUCUGGCCCGGAUCAGCCCCUCCCUCUUAUGGUUCCUGACAAUCUUGACCAGGCCCGGGUAACGCUUCUUCACAUAUUCCUCCAGAGGUCCUUUCAGCUGCUCUGGAAGCCAUUAAACACAACAUCAGCAUCUUCAUGUAGCCAGGAACUGCUCCCCCUGCUGGCAUGAGAGAUAACUACAAGACUCUAACAGACGCCAACCUUUAUUGUGUAUCGUUGUUAAGAAAUGUUACGAAUACACAAUUCAUAAUUUAUAUUAUGUUGAUUUAUUUAUUGGCUUAUCUUAUGAGGUAUGUAAAGUAACAAACUCAGCCCAACAUGUGUGGCUAAUUUAAUUGACAA